UACGGAGGGUGCAAACGUUGCUCGGAAUUAUUGGGCGUAAAGCGCACGUAGGCGGCCAGAUAAGUCCGGUGUGAAAGUCAAAGGCUCAACCUUUGAAUGCCGCUGGAAACUGUCUGGCUAGAGUCCGGGAGGGGCGAGUGGAAUUCCUGGUGUAGCGGUGAAAUGCGCAGAUAUCAGGAGGAACACCAAUUGCGAAGGCAGCUCGCUGGGACGUAACUGACGCCUGAGACGCGAAAGCGUGGGGAGCAAACAGGAU
rnacentral:rRNA from 1 species